UCACCCCCCCCCCUGAGGGUCUAGAGUGGCCCCAAGCAGGUGUAAGGCCCGGACAUUGGUGGUGGCUUGGUCACACACAAUUGCCUGAACCUAACAUGUAGAAAAGUAUCAAUGCAUGGCCUAUAGCCUGCAGGUGGUGAAUGGCUCCCCUGAUGGUGUCUGCAAUCUCCUCCGACAGCAUGGAGCUGGAGGAAAAGAAGUAUCCAAUUGGCUGGAAGACAUUGGGAAAGUGCUUGUUAGAGAAGUAUCCGACUCGUGCCGUAACGAAUCUGUGAAGAGUUGUAGCUGGGCCCGGAUGAAAUCACGGCACUUUUCUGAGCAGUUGGGCAGGAUCUCUUUAAGGCUACAUGGGGAGAAAAUGUUAAGUCCAAAAAACAAAGGAGGAGAGGCAAGCAGUGGUGGGUUUCCACAGUUCACCAAUGUGGGGAUGGCUUCUUGUGUGAGUGCUUUUCUUCCAUUAGACUAGUACAGAACAUGAAGGACAUCGUCAAGGACAGUAAUGUCACUGUUGACUAAAAAUGUUUCACUAAUGUUACACACCAGCACAACUCACUUUUCGAAGAAAGCGCUCCUCAAAAUGUAGCUCACACACCACAUAUCCUCCCUGCAUCAUUUCUGCAUGGGACAGACUAAGUCUGAGGUCAGCCCUUCUGAUAUUAAUGAGCCAUCUUUUCCUCCUGAAAGUGAAAUCUGAUUAAAUGUAGUCUUUUUGGACCUGUGUUCUGUUGUAGGUGUCUUGGUUUUCAUUCCGUUUCUGUUCAGCCACAACUUUGUUUGCUGUAUUGUUUUGUUUACUUGUGUGUGUGUGUGUGUGUGUGUGUGUGUGUGUGUGUGUGUGUGUGUGUGUGUGUGCUCUCUUCUCUGUGUUCUCUUGUUAAAUUGCUCUCUCCUAUUUUAGACCGCUCACAUCAUCCCCUUCAUUUAAGUUUUUAGCUGUAUAGGUGUUUUUGCACGUUUCAAUUGGGUACAAUGAAUUGGGUAUUACUUUCUUCUGUUCUGUUCUUGUAAUCUCUCAUUCACGAAGGC